rnacentral:rRNA from 1 species
AGAGUUUGAUCCUGGCUCAGGAUGAACGCUGGCGGCGCGCCUAACACAUGCAAGUCGAACGGUUAAAGCACCUCCGGGUGUGUAUAAAGUGGCGAACGGCUGAGUAACACGUGGGCAACCUGCCCCUCGCUCCGGGACAGCCUCGGGAAACUGGGAGUAAUACCGGAUACUCCGCCACCCCCGCAUGGGGGAGGCGGGAAAGCCUUAACGGCGAGGGAUGGGCCCGCGGCCUGUUAGCUUGUUGGUGGGGUAACGGCCCACCAAGGCCAUUAUGGGUAGCUGGGUUGAGAGACCGACCAGCCAGAUUGGGACUGAGACACGGCCCAAACUCCUACGGGAGGCAGCAGUGGGGAAUCUUGCACAAUGGGCGAAAGCCUGAUGCAGCGACGCCGCGUGCGGGACGAAGGCCUUCGGGUUGUAAACCGCUUUCAGUGGGGACGAGGCCGCGAGGUGACGGUACCCACAGAAGAAGCCCCGGCUAACUACGUGCCAGCAGCCGCGGUAAUACGUAGGGGGCAAGCGUUAUCCGGAUUCAUUGGGCGUAAAGCGCUCGUAGGCGGUCCGUUAGGUCGGGAGUUAAAUCCGGGGGCUCAACCCCCGCCCGCUCCCGAUACCGGCGGACUUGAGUUUGGUAGGGGAAAGUGGAAUUCCCAGUGUAGCGGUGGAAUGCGCAGAUAUUGGGAAGAACACCGGUGGCGAAGGCGGCUUUCUGGGCCACAACUGACGCUGAGGAGCGAAAGCUAGGGGAGCGAACAGGAUUAGAUACCCUGGUAGUCCUAGCCGUAAACGAUGGACACUAGGUGUGGGGGGACGAUCCCUCCGUGCCGCAGCUAACGCAUUAAGUGUCCCGCCUGGGGAGUACGGCCGCAAGGCUAAAACUCAAAGGAAUUGACGGGGGCC